rnacentral:lncRNA from 1 species
ACUGAUGAAAUCCUUCAGAGCAUGGAAGUCGGCAUGACCUUUCGCGAUUAUGUUUGUACUUCUUUCUUGUUGAAUUGUUAUUUUUAUUAGAAAAUGAAACUAUUAAAUGAAAUAUGGGGAAAUUGACUAUAUUAAAUGAAAUAUGGGGAAAUUGACUAUGAUUUUCCAUUUAUUUUGUUAUACUCGUUCUCUGCAAAAUAAUGUAAAUUGUUUAAUGAUCUUUUAAUUUUUAGUAUAGGAGUAACCAGUUGUUCAAGAGGGCUGAGACUUGCAGUACUUUCUGUUUAAUUUCACAUUAUGGAGACUAAGGUUUUAUAUUGUUAUUAUCAAAUAAUGGACCCUUGUCAGUUUAGUAAGGAAGAUUCUGCUUUGGGUAAACGGAUAUGCAUUGUUGGAUUUUAGGAACUAGUUUCUUAAUUCCAGUAGUUGAAGAAAUUUAAUUUUGUAACUUUCAAUAGGAAAUGGAAAAAAGCAUUUGUAUAAUGUAAGUUUUGUUUUUCAGGAAAGCUUGGUAUAUGGUAUGGAUUUAGAUUCCCUAAGCAUGGGAAAGCUUCCAAUUUGAUACGAUUAGGAAAGGGGUCAUAAAUCAUAAGAGCAACCGGGAGAAGUAAAAAACUGAUGAGAUUAGAAAAAUCAAUAGGUGACUGCCUGCAUGGCUAUUUAGCAUUCUAAAUUCUAACUUAACGCUCACAGUUGUGACCAAUGAUAAUACAAGUCAACAUUGUAAAAAACAAGGUUAUCUGUUUAAACAUAGUGUUCGUGUUCAUAUAUAUUAAG